AUUUGAUGCUGAGGGCAACUUGAAUAUAAUUUCUUGAAUCUCUCCCAAUAGUCAUAGAGAGUUUCCCCCACAUUUUGUUGAAUGCUACAGAUACUUUUUCCUGAUAGU